rnacentral:rRNA from 1 species
UACGGAGGGGGCUAGCGUUGUUCGGAAUUACUGGGCGUAAAGCGCGCGUAGGCGGCUUUGUAAGUUAGAGGUGAAAGCCCGGAGCUCAACUCCGGAACUGCCUUUAAGACUGCAUCGCUAGAAUUGUGGAGAGGUAAGUGGAAUUCCGAGUGUAGAGGUGAAAUUCGUAGAUAUUCGGAAGAACACCAGUGGCGAAGGCGGCUCACUGGCCCGAUACUGACGCUGAGGCACGAAAGCGUGGGGAGCAAACAGG